rnacentral:rRNA from 1 species
GAUGAACGCUAGCGGCAGGCUUAACACAUGCAAGUCGAGGGGCAGCACGGGUAGCAAUACCUGGUGGCGACCGGCGCAAGGGUGCGUAACGCGUGAGCAACAUGCCCUAUACAGGGGGAUAAUCCAGGGAAACUUGGUCUAAUAUCCCAUAGUAUUUAGAGGAGGCAUCUUCUAUAAAUUAAAGCUUCGGUGGUAUAGGAUUGGCUCGCGUGACAUUAGCUAGAUGGUGAGGUAACGGCUCACCAUGGCAAUGAUGUCUAGGGGUUCUGAGAGGAAGGCCCCCCACACUGGGACUGAGACACGGCCCAGACUCCUACGGGAGGCAGCAGUGAGGAAUAUUGGACAAUGGAUGGAAAUCUGAUCCAGCCAUGCCGCGUGCAGGAAGACAGCCCUAUGGGUUGUAAACUGCUUUUAUAUGGGACAAUAGGUCUACGUGUAGACUGAUGAGAGUACCAGUAUGAAUAA